rnacentral:rRNA from 1 species
CUAGCCCUGAAAAUGGAUGUCGCUAAGCAGUUAGCCGAUACCCUUCGGUCGGGCUAGAGGAGGCCAGACCAGUAGGAGGGCGUGGGGAUAGCGCUGAAGUGCAAGUGUGAAGUUGCAUGGAGCUGUUCCUAGUGCAGAUCUUGGUGGUAGUAGCAGCUAUUCAAGCAAGACCCUUGAAGACUGAAGUGGAGAAGGGUUUCAUGAGAACAACAAUUGGUCAUGAGGUACUCGGUCCUAAGGCACUCAAUGCCGAAAGGGAAAAAGGUUAAUAUUCCUUUAGCUAUCAAGAGGUUGAAUGGCAACAUAAACGAGCUCAGAAACGUCGGAGUGAAAUCCCAGGGAGAGUUCUCUUUUCUUCUUAACAAGUCGCUGCCCUGGAGGUUGUUAGAACGAGAGAGGGCUAUAGACUUGGCAGAGCAGUGCACCCUUUGCGCUGUCUGGUGCAUUUCCUUCGGCCCUUGAAAAUCUGAGGGAACGCUGAUCGCUUGAUAGGCCGUACCCACAACCGC